rnacentral:rRNA from 1 species
CCGUAACUAUAACGGUCCUAAGGUAGCGAAAUUCCUUGUCGGGUAAGUUCCGACCCGCACGAAAGGCGUAACGAUCUGGGCACUGUCUCAACGAGAGACUCGGUGAAAUUAUAGUACCUGUGAAGAUGCAGGUUACCCGCGACAGGACGGAAAGACCCCGUGGAGCUUUACUGUAGCUUGAUAUUGAGCACUGGUGACACAUGUACAGGAUAGGUAGGAGACGAAGAAGCCAGGACGCCAGUCUUGGUGGAGUCGCUGUUGGGAUACUACCCUUGUGUUACUGGGGUUCUAACCCGUGGCCAUGAUCUGGUCAGGGAACAGUGUCAGGUGGGCAGUUUGACUGGGGCGGUCGCCUCCUAAAAGGUAACGGAGGCGCCCAAAGGUUCCCUCAGAAUGGUUGGAAAUCAUUCGCAGAGUGUAAAGGCACAAGGGAGCUUGACUGCGAGACCUACAAGUCGAGCAGGGACGAAAGUCGGGCUUAGUGAUCCGGCGGUACCGAAUGGAAGGGCCGUCGCUCAACGGAUAAAAGCUACCCCGGGGAUAACAGGCUGAUCUCCCCCAAGAGUCCACAUCGACGGGGAGGUUUGGCACCUCGAUGUCGGCUCAUCGCAUCCUGGGGCUGUAGUCGGUCCCAAGGGUUGGGCUGUUCGCCCAUUAAAGCGGUACGCGAGCUGGGUUCAGAACGUCGUGAGACAGUUCGGUCCCUAUCCGUCGCGGGCGCAGGAAAUUUGAGAGGAGCUGUCCUUAGUACGAGAGGACCGGGAUGGACGCACCGCUGGUGUACCAGUUGUUCUGCCAAGGGCAUCGCUGGGUAGCUAUGUGCGGACGGGAUAAGUGCUGAAAGCAUCUAAGCAUGAAGCCCCCCUCAAGAUGAGAUUUCCCAUUCGAAAGAAGUAAGAUCCCUUGAAGACGACAAGGUAGAUAGGUCAGAAGUGGAAGUGUGGUGACACAUGGAGCGGACUGAUACUAAUCGAUCGAGGACUUAACCAAUUU